rnacentral:ncRNA from 1 species
CAAUAGAGUGGAUGCGACGACACGGGGGGGCUGUAUUCGGGCACCUGGCCCCCCGCCGAGCGAGUGGUGCGACCGGCCAAGCGGCGA